rnacentral:lncRNA from 1 species
UUGGCCCACCAGCCAUCCACUCUCCCAAAUCCCAUUCUCUUAAGAGAGUGGUUGUUGUAGGUGUCAGUGUAUGAUAGCCUACAAACAUCCUCUCCAUCAAAACUGACUCCAUUCUCUCUAAAGAUAACUAUGAGGGCCAUAUCAUAGGGCAAGGGAGCCUUGGACCUACUCAAGGCAUCCCUCAUAGCAUCAAACAUCAAAAAGAAAGGUUCAGGGGAGACUCUGAAACAAUAUGGUGCAUGAAACAUAUGUCUU